GACGAACGCUGGCGGCGCGCUUAACACAUGCAAGUCGAGGGCACCCAGGGGCAACUCUGGGUGACCGGCGAACGGGUGCGUAACACGUGAGCGACCUGCCCGCUUGUGGGGGAUAGCCGGCCCAACGGCCGGGUAAUACCGCAUACGUUCUUUUGGGGGCAUUCCUGAGAGAAGAAAACUUGAGUGCAGGCGGAGGGGCCCGCGGCCUAUCAGCUAGUUGGCGGGGUAACGGCCCACCAAGGCGAUGACGGGUAGCUGGUCUGAGAGGAUGGCCAGCCACAUUGGGACUGAGAGACGGCCCAGACUCCUACGGGAGGCAGCAGUGGGGAAUCUUGCGCAAUGGUCGAAAGACUGACGCAGCGACGCCGCGUGCGGGAGGACGCCCUUCGGGGUGUAAACCGCUGUUGCCCGGGACGAACCUGGCCUUUCGAGGCCACUGACGGUACCGGGUGAGGAAGCACCGGCUAACUCCGUGCCAGCAGCCGCCGUAAGAC
rnacentral:rRNA from 1 species